CCUACGGGAGGCAGCAGUGGGGAAUCUUGCGCAAUGGGCGAAAGCCUGACGCAGCAACGCCGCGUGCGGGAAGAAGGCUUUCGGGCUGUAAACCGCUUUCAGCAGGAACGAAAAUGACGGUACCUGCAGAAGAAGGAGCGGCCAACUAUGUGCCAGCAGCCGCGGUGAUACAUAGGCUUCAAGCGUUGUCCGGAUUUAUUGGGCGUAAAGAGUUCGUAGGCGGUCAAGUAAGUCGGGUGUGAAAAUUCUGGGCUCAACCCAGAGACGCCACCCGAUACUGCUUAACUUGAGUUCGAUAGGGGAGUGGGGAAUUCCUAGUGUAGCGGUGAAAUGCGCAGAUAUUAGGAGGAACACCGGUGGCGAAGGCGCCACUCUGGAUCGAUACUGACGCUGAGGAACGAAAGCAUGGGUAGCAAACAGGAUUAGAUACCCUGGUAGUCCAUGCCGUAAACGGUGGGCACUAGGUGUGGGUUUCUAUUAACGAAAUCCGCGCCGUCGCUAACGCAUUAAGUGCCCCGCCUGGGGAGUACGUCGCAGACUAAACUACAAUAGAAUAGACGGCGUGAGACGUGCCGACGGACGACGACGAGGGAGUAGG
rnacentral:rRNA from 1 species